rnacentral:lncRNA from 1 species
GCUCGUGACUAAAUGAUACAAUUAUUACAAAGAUGAUAAUUGUAUCGAGUGUAAGUCGUUGUAUGUCAUAUUAGUUGGUUGUCCUCUUAAUCAAGGUGUGUGAUGACACGGAUAUGGCAUAUGGGUGAUUUAUAGGAGUAUAUUUCACUGAACGUGAUCACUUUCGGAGUACUCUGCUGUCAAGGGUUGCUCUGAUGGG